rnacentral:rRNA from 1 species
CGAGCGAAUCUUGAGGAGCUUGCUCCUUAUGGUUAGCGGCGGACGGGUGAGUAACACGUGGGCAACCUGCCUGUAAGACUGGGAUAACACCGGGAAACCGGUGCUAAUACCGGAUAAUUCUUCACCUCACAUGAGGUGAAGCUGAAAGUCGGUUUCGGCUGACACUUACAGAUGGGCCCGCGGCGCAUUAGCUAGUUGGUGAGGUAACGGCUCACCAAGGCGACGAUGCGUAGCCGACCUGAGAGGGUGAUCGGCCACACUGGGACUGAGACACGGCCCAGACUCCUACGGGAGGCAGCAGUAGGGAAUCUUCCGCAAUGGACGAAAGUCUGACGGAGCAACGCCGCGUGAGUGAUGAAGGCCUUCGGGUCGUAAAACUCUGUUGUUAGGGAAGAACAAGUACCGGAGUAACUGCCGGUACCUUGACGGUACCUAACCAGAAAGCCACGGCUAACUACGUGCCAGCAGCCGCGGUAAUACGUAGGUGGCAAGCGUUGUCCGGAAUUAUUGGGCGUAAAGCGCGCGCAGGCGGUCCUUUAAGUCUGAUGUGAAAGCCCACGGCUCAACCGUGGAG